GUCUAUGGUCAUACUACCCUGAAUCCUGUCUGAUCUUGGAAGGUAAGCAAGGUCAGGCCUGGUUAGUACUUGGAUGUGAAAAUUCUGGUUUGGGCAGGCAUGGUGGCAC
rnacentral:rRNA from 1 species